AGUCCUAGAAUUACCUCACCAGAGAAGGACAGAAAAAAAAUAUUGAUUUAAUUGAGUGGAUGUAAAGAUGUAAAAGAUUGGGUCUACGUCAGACUUCUCUUUUAUCACAAGGUUUGGCUUCCUGCCAUGUGUUCAGGCAAUAAAUUGGCUGUAGCAGAGCUGCUUCUAGCAUUCAGCUGGGUGGAAGUAGAGACAGUAGCAGGCACAAUAAGCAUUCUUAGAGCUGCAUGCACCUUACAGAAGAAGAAAAGAAAUGAGCUGAAGAAAUGAGCAUGAAAAGACAUUGAAACAAAGAAAUAGACACAGGGAUAAACACACAACAGUAACAACUGGCUGGGAAGGUGAGGCAAUUCAGGUUAUCAGGGUUUCUCAAGGACUUCAACAAUGAAGCUCCGCUCAGGCCGCCAAAAGCCAUACGAAGUGCCUGUCUCUGCAAGACAACUGGCUAGAAGGAAACCUCCGCAGUGCAAUAGAGCACCAGCUUCUGGAACAUCAGUGUUUAGUCUGCGAAAAACAGUAAAGUGCUAUUUACUGACUGAAGAUUCAAAAACAGUGCAUUUUGACUUAGAUGAAGAUGGUCAUCAUGAAAUAUCAACCAAAGAUUCACAGUCCCAUGAAGAUAUCGCAUGGUUAAGCAUAUUCACAAGCAAUGAACCAGCAGUUAGGGCGAAAACGUGGUCUAAAACUGUGGUGGUCCUCACACAGAGAUCAAAGCAUAACGAAUUUGUCCUGUUGUGCAAGGGUAAAAAGCAGCUCUGUCUGAAGGUCUUAAAAGGAUGUUGUUCAGAGCCAGAUUAUCCUUCAGUGAAAAGACGCAACGGGAAAACAUGCAAGCACGAAGAUCCUGACUUCGAACAGCUGAGCGAAGAUAAUCACUUUUUCAUCAUGCAUAGUGAAGGAGAGUCAGUGAAAUUCCAGUGCUAUGAAGACACAAAUUACUUUCUGCAUGUGAAUGAUGACUCACUUGAUAUACGCAAGCCAGAUCACAAAGACCCCAAUGGAGAGAAAAAUUUUUUCUUCAGAGUGUCAUACUUAUAGAGAAAAUAUUUCUUCUACCCUUCAGUGGCCGAACUGUCCAUACAGCUCCUACAAUAAUUUAACAGGAAAGAAGAAAG
rnacentral:lncRNA from 1 species